rnacentral:tRNA from 1 species
GGCGCAGUAGCUCAGAGGUCAAGAGCACUCCCUUCGCAAGGUGAGAGAUCGUGGGUUCAAAUCCCACCUGCGCCACCA